rnacentral:rRNA from 1 species
GACGAACGCUGGCGGCGUGCUUAACACAUGCAAGUCGAACGGAAAGGCCCUGCUUUUGUGGGGUGCUCGAGUGGCGAACGGGUGAGUAACACGUGAGUAACCUGCCCUUGACUUUGGGAUAACUUCAGGAAACUGGGGCUAAUACAGGAUAGGAGCUCCUGCUGCAUGGUGGGGGUUGGAAAGUUUCGGCGGUUGGGGAUGGACUGGCGGCUUAUCAGCUUGUUGGUGGGGUAGUGGCUUACCAAGGCUUUGACGGGUAGCCGGCCUGAGAGGUUGAACGGCCACAUGGGGACUGAGAUACGGCCCAGACUCCUACGGGAGGCAGCAGUGGGGAAUAUGGCACAAUGGGCGGAAGCCUGAUGCAGCAACGCCGCGUUCGUGAUGACGGCCUUCGGGUUGUAAACCGCUGUCGCCUGUGACGAAGCGUGAGUGACGGUAAUGGGUAAAGAAGCACCGGCUAACUACGUG